AUGUUUUCUAAAUUGUGCACGUGUUGUCAAGUUGUUGAAGAUGUUUUGGGCUGCUGUAAUGCGUUGGCACCUGUCGGCCACCGUACAAAGUCACUCACUGACACAAACUAACUAACUGGUUGAGGCAACGGUAGACCAGCAACUCCUCUGUUAUCAAUGUAUCGUCCGGUGGAUUUGAAAAGAGUCUCCACUUCUCAAUGGGAAAGGGCUGUUGGACAGCAAGUAAACUCAAAGGUUUGCUACGAGCUGACGAGAUAUUGAAGCAAACAGCACAGUGAAGGCUCCCUGGUGUUUGCUCAGGGAGCAGUGCUGUUACCAGAGCAGAGAGCAGAAUAAAGCUGACCAGGUUGACAACAGCAAACAGAGAGAAGGUGGAGCUACAGGUAGGAGCUUUACAGCUGUUGAGCAAAAGACAGAGCUGCUGAGGUGAAGCAGAUCGCUGCCAGGGAAGGGACUGGAGUCUGCCAAGUCUGCGAUCACGACGCACCCUCAUGCUGGAGGGCGAGGUGGGGCAAAGAGCUGCCAACAACCACUCAGAACUUCAAGAGGCCUUUCAACACCAAACAUCUCGUAUGUCCCAAGAACUGUUGGAACAUUGCGUUGACCCUAACAGCACUUUCAACAUGCCAUGUCUGACAAAAAUAUCAGACAGCUAAAUAACUGUUUUGCAGCUCGUUUGCCAAACACACAAGGAGUUUUGGGCAUGUCCUUCUGUUGAACUGUAAAUAAAACUACAAUAAUUGUGAGAGAAAUGAAA